GGACUCCUUCAGGAACCGCCGUCUUCAAAUUGGGACAUCGGCUGAUCCCUAAUCGAGAAAGAUGAGGCAUGGCUCCUUCAGCCACCCUCCACUCCUCCAAAUUGAGCAGAUGAUCAAGAACUAAAUGCUUGAGUUGAGGAAAGCCUCCCGCAGAGCAAACCAUUUCCUUCCCCACGAAAGCUGAAGGCCCCAGCACGAGAACAACCAAGUGCUGCAAUUUCUCCAAUAUUUGCAUCGGAUCUUCUUCUAGUGCGGAAUAGAGUAAGCCCAGCUUCCUCAGUUGCUGGGGUAGAUUCCUAUGUUCCGUGAAUAAUGUAAGGCUUUUGAAUCCAAAAGAUGAGGAUUGAAGAUGUUUCAAAUCGAAUUUAGCAAGUUGUGAAAUUAUCUCCAACUUGUCAUCUUCAUCGUCGAUAGUGGCCAAAGUCAAUUUUCGCAGAUUGGUCAGUUUAGCUACAUCAUUCAUGUCACAAUUAUUC